rnacentral:snoRNA from 1 species
UUCCACGAGUCCAUGGGACCUGACUUGUGGCAGAUUCCCUUCCUAGCCGUGGAAUAGAAAUGUCUUGCUUCCUCCUAUGCCUGCUACCAGCCAAGGUUUGCAGACUGGUUCAACAAGCAACA